rnacentral:rRNA from 1 species
CGUGUAGGCGGUUGGUCAAGUCUGGUGUGAAAGCCCGGGGCUCAGCUCCGGAAGGGCAUCGGAAACUAGCCAGCUGGAGCGCGAUAGAGGAGGGCGGAAUUCCUGGUGUAGCGGUGAAAUGCGUAGAUAUCAGGAGGAACACCGGCGGCGAAGGCGGCCCUCUGGAUCGUUGCUGACGCUGAGACGCGAAAGCGUGGGGGGCAAACAGGAUUAGAUACCCUGGUAGUCCACGCUGUAAACUAUGGGUACUAGGUGUUCGGGGUAUUGACCCCCUGAGUGCCGCAGCUAACGCAUUAAGUACCCCGCCUGGGGACUACGGCCGCAAGGUUAAA